rnacentral:rRNA from 1 species
AUUGAACGCUGGCGGUAUGCUUUACACAUGCAAGUCGAACGGUAACAGGCCGCAAGGUGCUGACGAGUGGCGAACGGGUGAGUAAUGCAUCGGAACGUGCCCAGUCGUGGGGGAUAACGCAGCGAAAGCUGCGCUAAUACCGCAUACGAUUUAUGGAUGAAAGCGGGGGACCGUAAGGCCUCGCGCGAUUGGAGCGGCCGAUGUCAGAUUAGGUAGUUGGUGGGGUAAAGGCUCACCAAGCCGACGAUCUGUAGCUGGUCUGAGAGGACGACCAGCCACACUGGGACUGAGACACGGCCCAGACUCCUACGGGAGGCAGCAGUGGGGAAUUUUGGACAAUGGGCGCAAGCCUGAUCCAGCAAUGCCGCGUGCAGGAAGAAGGCCUUCGGGUUGUAAACUGCUUUUGUACGGAACGAAAAGGCUCUGGAUAAUACCUGGGGCUCAUGACGGUACCGUAAGAAUAAGCACCGGCUAACUACGUGCCAGCAGCCGCCGUAAUAC